UAUAGAUAUAUAGAGAGAGAGAGUGACAUCUGAAAGAAAAAAAAGGAUAGGAAAAUAUAGGAGGCAUAGACUGAUAAUAUAGAGAGAGGACGGACAAGAAAAAGAAAAAAUCAUCAUCUCCUGCAAAAAUUUUUUCUCACCAAAAAACAACCAUUUUCACCAUCUCCCAACAACACCACCACUGCAUCAUCUCCUUCAUCACUUCACUGGAAAACCCACCAGAAAAUUAAAAAAAAAAGAAACAACAACCAAACGCCACUUUUCUUUUUCUUUUCUUUUCUUUUAUUUUUCACCUAUAAACACACCCAUCACCAUUUAAAACCACCCCGUCACCACCCCACACCACCGUGACGACCAACUUGAAAAUCGUCCCAAACACCUCACUGUUUUCCCGUCAUUAAACCCACCCAUCGGAAAACAUCAAUACCCGUGAACACCCACCCGAAACCACCAUCCCAAACAUCCUUUUUCCAGUUCUAAAACCACCAACAAAAACACCUUAAAACAUCAAUGGCAAUACUAUAAAAUACCGGACAACGACGAAUCUAAACAGAGGGGUUGAGGUUUCUGUCUCUGUUUUCAGUUUGAGUUGCGGGUUGUAGUUUGAGGUUCUAGUUUCCGGCUGUCGGUCUCCGUCCGUGGCUCCGGUAUUACGGUCCAUUCUUUCGUCCUCUUUGACUAAAUUUUAAUAAAUCUUUAAAUAUGAAUUUUAAGGUUUUUGGUUUUAUGCUCGAAUAAGUAGUAUCUUGGUUAUUGCUUAAGAUUAACGGGAUUUAAUUAUUUGUGUGUUCAGUUGAUCUUGAUUUUGAUGGUGUGAUUCUGGUGAAUGGAUUCAAUGGGUGUUGCUGUUUAUGAAAUUAUUAUUUAGGACCCGCCUGAAGAAUGGGAAAGCAGGUCAGGACCCGUCUAAAGAAUGGGAUGAUUUACAGCGCCCACCUGAAGAAUGGGAAGCAAGUUAGGAGCCCGCCAGGAGAAUAGGGACAUAUUUAAAUUUUAAGUUCAAGAGCCUGCCUGAAAAAUAGGGUGUAUUUUCAAGUUCAGUCGGAAGCAAGUUAGAAGCCCGCCAGGAGAAUAGGGACAUCUUUAAAUUUCAAGUUCAAGAGCUUGCCUGAAAAACAGGGUGUAUUUUCAAGUUUAGUCGGAAGCAAGUCAGGAGCCCGCCUAGAGAAUAGGGACAUCUUCAAAUUUCAAGCUCAGGAGCCCGCCCGGAGAACAGGGUGCACUUUUAGUUGGUUUCAAGUUCAGUCAGAAGUAGCAGGAGCCUUGCCUGGAGAAUAGGGAUGACUUUAAAUUUUAAGUUCAGAAACAGGAAUGAAGAUUCAAGUCAAGGUUCAAGGGAAGCUGCAUAGAUAGGGUCUUGUACUUGUAUUUUCUUUUUAACUUUUAUUUUUCAUUUUGAUGUAAUAACAGGAGCCGCGGACCGGAACCUCGACAUGA